AUUACAUAAAGAGUCGAACCUGCCCAAUGAUAUUUUAAAUGGCCGCGGUACUCUGACCGUGCAAAGGUAGCAUAAUCAUUUGCCUUAUAAUUGAAGGCUAGUAUGAACGGUUUGACAAGAGUAGCACUGUCUCUACUAAAUUUUAUAGAAUUUGGUUUUUAGGUGAAGAAACCUAAAUAAAAUUGAAAGACAAGAAGACCCUAUCGAGCUUUAAAAAAUUUUUCUUAAAGAUUUUAGUUGGGGCGACUAAGGAACAAUAAAAGCUUCUUUUUUAUAUAUAAACUUAUAUGUUUUGAUCCAAAAAAAUGAUUAAUAGAAUUAGUUACCGUAGGGAUAACAGCAUAAUCUUUUUUGAGAGUUCUUAUCGAAAAAAAGGUUUGUGACCUCGAUGUUGGACUAGGAUAUCCUAAAGGUGUAGAAGCCUUUAAAGGUUGGUCUGUUCGACCAUUAACA
rnacentral:rRNA from 1 species